rnacentral:rRNA from 1 species
GGUGCUUCUUCUUCGGAAGAAGUAACCCGGCGGACGGCUCAGUAACACGUGGACAACUUGCCCUUGGGACCGGGAUAACCCCUGGGAAACUGGGGCUAAUACCGGAUAGAACAUCGGUUGCUGGAAUGCACGAUGUUCGAAAGCUGAGGCACCCAAGGAUAGGUCUGCGGCCGAUUAGGUUGUUGUUGAUGUGACGGAUCAACAGGCCUACGAUCGGUACGGGUUGUGAGAGCAAUAGCCCGGAGAUGGGUUCUGAGAAAAGAACCCAGGUCCUACGGGACGCAUCAGGCGCGAAAACUUUACAAUGUGCGAAAGCACGAUAAGGGAACUCUGAGUGCCUCCUAAGGAGGCUGUUCAGGUGUCUAAAAAGCAUCUGGAGGAAGGGCUGGGUAAGACCGGUGCCAGCCGCCGCGGUAACACCGGCAGCUCAAGUGGUAGCCCACGUUUAUUGGGUCUAAAAGCGUCCGUAGCCCGGCUGAGUAAGUUCCUUGGGAAAAUUUGACCCGCUCAACGGUUAAGCUUU